AGGUGCUUGCACCUUUCAAGCGAGUGGCGAACGGGUGAGUAACACGUGGAUAACCUGCCUCAAGGCUGGGGAUAACAUUUGGAAACAGAUGCUAAUACCGAAUAAAACUUAGUGUCGCAUGACACAAAGUUAAAAGGCGCUUCGGCGUCACCUAGAGAUGGAUCCGCGGUGCAUUAGUUAGUUGGUGGGGUAAAGGCCUACCAAGACAAUGAUGCAUAGCCGACCUGAGAGGGUAAUCGGCCACACUGGGACUGAGACACGGCCCAGACUCC
rnacentral:rRNA from 1 species